rnacentral:rRNA from 1 species
UGCAGAGGUCCCAAGCGUUGUUCGGAUUCACUGGGCGUAAAGGGUGCGUAGGCGGUCGGGUAAGUCUGGCGUGAAAUCUCCAAGCCUAACUUGGAAACUGCGUUGGAUACCAUCCGGCUCGAGGAAUGGAGGGGAGACUGGAAUACUUGGUGUAGCAGUGAAAUGCGUAGAUAUCAAGUGGAACACCAGUGGCGAAGGCGAGUCUCUGGACAUUAGCUGACACUCAGGCACGAAAGCGUGGGGAGCAAAAGGG